rnacentral:rRNA from 1 species
CAGAGGGUGCGAGCGUUAAUCGGAAUUACUGGGCGUAAAGCGUGCGUAGACGGUUAUUUAAGUCGGAUGUGAAAGCCCCGGGCUCAACCUGGGAAUUGCAUUCGAGACUGAAUAGCUAGGGUACGGUAGAGGGAAGUGGAAUUUCCGGUGUAGCGGUGAAAUGCGUAGAUAUCGGAAGGAACAUCAGUGGCGAAAGCGACUUCCUGGACCAGUACCGACGUUCAGGCACGAAAGCGUGGGGAGCAAACAGGAUUAGAUACCCUGGUAGUCCACGCCAUAAACGAUGAGGACUAGACGUUGGAGGGGUAAGCCUCUCAGUGUCGUAGCUAACGCGCUAAGUCCUCCGCCUGGGGAGUACGGCCGCAAGGUUG